UACACGACCGUACCGCAAAUCGACACUGGUGCGCGAGAUGAGUAUUCUAAGGCGCUUGAGAGAACUCAGGAGAAGGAACUCGGCAAAUUGACACCGUAACUUCGGAAGAAGGUGUGCCUUUAGUAGGUGAACCUGUACAAGGGGAGCCCAAUGAGGUUGCAAAAAAUCGGUGGCUGCGACUGUUUAAUAAAAACACAGCACUCUGCAAACACGAAAGUGGACGUAUAGGGUGUGACGCCUGCCCGGUGCUGGAAGAUUAAAUGAUGGGGUGCAAGCUCUUGAUUGAAGUCCCAGUAAACGGCGGCCGUAACAAUAACGGUCCUAAGGUAGCGAAAUUCCUUGUCGGGUAAGUUCCGACCUGCACGAAUGGCGUAACGAUGGCCACACUGUCUCCUCCUGAGACUCAGCGAAGUUGAAAUGUUUGUGAUGAUGCAAUCUCCCCGCGGAAAGACGGAAAGACCCCAUGAACCUUUACUGUAGCUUUGUAUUGGACUUUGAACAGAUCUGUGUAGGAUAGGUGGGAGGCUUUGAAGUGUGGUCGCUAGAUCGCAUGGAGCCAACGUUGAAAUACCACCCUGGUGUGUUUGAGGUUCUAACCUAGGCCCGUAAUCCGGGUCGGGGACAGUGCAUGGUAGGCAGUUUGACUGGGGCGGUCUCCUCCCAAAGCGUAACGGAGGAGUUCGAAGGUACGCUAGGUACGGUCGGACAUCGUGCUAAUAGUGCAAUGGCAUAAGCGUGCUUAACUGCGAGACUGACAAGUCGAGCAGAUGCGAAAGCAGGACAUAGUGAUCCGGUGGUUCUGUAUGGAAGGGCCAUCGCUCAACGGAUAAAAGGUACUCUGGGGAUAACAGGCUGAUACCGCCCAAGAGUUCAUAUCGACGGCGGUGUUUGGCACCUCGAUGUCGGCUCAUCUCAUCCUGGGGCUGUAGCCGGUCCCAAGGGUAUGGCUGUUCGCCAUUUAAAGAGGUACGUGAGCUGGGUUUAAAACGUCGUGAGACAGUUUGGUCCCUAUCUUCCGUGGGCGCUGCAGAUUUGAGGAAGCCUGCUCCUAGUACGAGAGGACCGGAGUGGACACACCUCUGGUGUAUCGGUUGUCACGCCAGUGGCAUUGCCGAGUAGCUAUGUGUGGAAGAGAUAACCGCUGAAAGCAUCUAAGCGGGAAACUCGUUUCAAGAUGAGAUCUGCCGGGGCCUUGAGCCCCCUAAAGAGUCGUUCAAGACCAGGACGUUGAUAGGUCGGGUGUGGAAGCGCAGUAAUGCGUUAAGCUAACCGAUACUAAUUGCUCGUGCGGCUUGACCU
rnacentral:rRNA from 1 species